rnacentral:rRNA from 1 species
CCUUGACAUACUAAGAACUUUCCAGAGAUGGAUUGGUGCCUUCGGGAACUUAGAUACAGGUGCUGCAUGGCUGUCGUCAGCUCGUGUCGUGAGAUGUUGGGUUAAGUCCCGCAACGAGCGCAACCUUUUCCUAUUUGCCAGCGGGUAAUGCCGGGAACUUUAAGGAUACUGCCAGUGACAAACUGGAGGAAGGCGGGGACGACGUCAAGUCAUCAUGGCCCUUACGGCCAGGGCUACACACGUGCUACAAUGGUCGGUACAAAGGGUUGCUACCUCGCGAGAGGAUGCUAAUCUCAAAAAGCCGAUCGUAGUCCGGAUCGCAGUCUGCAACUCGACUGCGUGAAGUCGGAAUCGCUAGUAAUCGCGGAUCAGAAUGCCGCGGUGAAUACGUUCCCGGGCCUUGCACACACCGCCCGUCACACCAUGGGAGUUUGUUGCACCAGAAGUAGGUAGUCUAACCGCAAGGAGGACGCUUACCACGGUGUGGCCGAUGACUGGGGUGAAGUCGUAACAAGGUAGGCGUAGAUGA